GACGUAGGGCGCGAGCGUUGUCCGGAUUUAUUGGGCGUAAAGAGCUCGUAGGCGGCUCGUUGCGUCGGCUGUGAAAACCCGCAGCUCAACUGUGGGCUUGCAGCUGAUACGGGCGGGCUGGGAUUCGGUAGGGGAGACGUGGAAUUCCUGGUGUAGCGGUGAAAUGCGCAGAUAUCAGGAGGACACCGGUGGCGAAGGCGGGUCUCUGGGCCGAUAUCGACGCUGAGGAGCGAAAGCGUGGGGAGCGAACAGG
rnacentral:rRNA from 1 species